CAGUAGCGUAUAUUAAAGUUGUUGCAGUUAAAAAGCUCGUAGUUGGAUUUCUGGUCGGAAGCUCCUGUCCUCUGAUGAGCGUACAAGUGCGUCCUACCAUCCUUCUGUUAACCUUUAAGGCUUUCGCGGCUUUCUAGGGGCUCAGAUAUUUUACCUUGAGAAAAUUAGAGUGUUUCAGGCAGGCUAGCGCCGGAAUACAUUAGCAUGGAAUAAUGGAAUAGGACUUUUGCCUCUUCUGUUGGUCAUGAGGCUCGAGUAAUGAUUAAUAGGGAUAGUUGGGGGCAUUAGUACUUAACUGUCAGAGGUGAAAUUCUCGGAUUUGUUAAAGACUAACUUAUGCGAAAGCAUUUGCCAAGGAUGUUUUCAUUAA
rnacentral:rRNA from 1 species